UCUCUACAAAACGGAACCUCUUUGCUACAGUCGUGUGGCUGCUUGUGUUCUUCUCCCCUAGCCAGAGGCAUGAAGGGGGGUUCACGGUCACUGACCAAGUCUCAUGUAUAACCCGACGUUUCGGAACUACACACGGGUUCCUCGUUCACUGAGUUGGACAGGAAAUCGUCGUCACCUAUGUAGCCAGCAUGUGACGUAAUGAACAUGCGUAAAUGGCAGGCAUAGUCCCUGGUGUCUGGUUCAUCGUAGCUGACGUCAAUUGAACGAUUAGCGAUUCUAGCAGCCGCCGGGAUGACAUGUUCUUUUCUUUGGCAACAACAGUGGCAUUGUCUCAGUCAAUCUUGUGACUAUGUUCCUGCGCAUGCUCGGCAAAUAAUAGUCGUGUGACUAUUAUUUCUUAGAUCAUGUUUUUUUUUUUUUUUUUCGUUUCCAUGCCUGACCAGCCGAACUUUCAUCGAAUCCUAGAUUAUGCAGCCAGAGGCAGUGGCACUCGUUGUGUCCUGUUUGAGAUGACUGGUCUUUUUGUCCGUGUCUAUCCACUAUCACCUGGGCUUAUCUCCUGGCUGCUGAAGUGUGCCUGCAUUUUCCAGGUCAACUACUCGGACAUUAAUGUCUGGAUACAAAUUGGGUAGAUCUUGUAUGCCAUGCCCAACAUCAGAAUAGCUGGAAUGUACAGACUAAAAAAGCUCGGAAGCGCUUGCACUCUUUGGAGAAUUUUGUAUGGGCAUUUUCAGGCUGUUCUGGUGACACUAAAAAAUACUGGCUCUCCUGUAAUCGAGAGUAGAUGUAAGCAUGAAAUGGCUGCCGACAAAGCAGAUUGAUUGUAGGUGGUACUAGCCACAAUCUUAAAAUGGGUGUAGCGCACAUUCGCAAUGGCACACCCCACCCCACUGCAUCACGCAACUGUACACUGGUCCAUAUGGAAGCAAGUUUCCUGUCAAAGACAGAACCCCAUUGCAAGUCUCGUCUCGGUCCACCAUAUGUGCCGUGGACCUCGCGGACUGCUGGCAUUGAAAAGAGCACAAGCAACUGUGUCUCAGUGCCAAAAAAUGACAAUCAAGUGUACAGUGCCUUGUAUCUGCCUCUGAACGUCGCUAUUAGAAGUGACAAAUAAAACUUCAGCGUACCAAAAGUUACAGCUUGAGUGAUAUUGUGAGCAAAUAUUUAGAACUCAGAAGCAAUAUUUUUUGUAACAUGUUUGGGAAGUAACUAGCAUAUGUAUUGCAGUCUUGACUGUUUGCCCGGAUGAGCUGGUUUGAGUGCCAGGAUAAUGGCUCUGGCUUUUGGUUCAUUGAAGGUGGCUGACAACAGGAGCUAAAAGCAUUUCAUGCUUAAAAUGUCUGCAGCAGCGGCACUGUUCGGUUAGUCAAGGACCUCAUUUCAUGGCCCUCAUUCUGACACCUUCGAACACUGUUUCUGCCUUUGUAACGCUUCCUAGAAUUUAUCCUUCAAAUUCUUAUGUGAAAGAACCAUGCAUCAAUUUUGGCGUAUUUCUCAAACUGUACGAGCAGAAUUGCUGCUGAUUUCAUAAAUACAACCUGUAAAUCAAUACAGCAGAAUUGUUAGUCGAAAUAUGUAAUCCAAAUCAAGGAGCCAUUCUCAAGACGAUGUUCCCGCUGGCACUGAUGCGUGGCAUUCCUGGCUUUGGUGAAAUCUUUAUUCUACAUUAUAAAGCAUGAAACAUUCACAGGUGCUCUUCUUUCCUUCUUUUUUGAGCUUUGCUGUUUCAAGGAGCUUUGCCCUUUGAGUGGCAGCAGCCUGGUUGACAUAACUUCUGACUCACGUAUUUAACAUUUUUGCACAGAUUGGUCAAGGAGUAGCCAGAUUUUGAGAAGUACAUCUUUAGCAGAGUCUAUAGGUGCUGGCUUUUGGUGUGGAGAGACAAGCAGCUUCAUAGCUUCCCUCCUGUCUCUUUUCAUUGCGUCAGCAAACUGAAAUGAAAACUCUCGAAACAGUAUAUUUGUUAAUGAGGAAUCUUUGCAAGGCACAUGGUGAAGCACAUGCCGAUGAAUUGCUUCAACCUUUUACAUUAAACAAAUUAUGCCAUGUGCUGUCGAGAGGCAAAUAAAGCUGUUCGCUUUAAAAAUUAACAAUAAUCUCCACAGUUUGUGAAGUGAUUGAGAUAUUGUUACCCAGUACCUUCAACAAAGAUGUUAUGGGAAACAGUGCAAGGAACUAGCAUACUUACACUAAUUGCAGGUAUUUGGCAGAGUUGUAUGGGAGACAAGAUAGCCAACCAAUUUUCCUUUAAUGCAUGUGAGCUUUGUCAUCUUCAUGGUGUAAUGUAAUCUUUUCAGGUAGCGGAUAAAGAAUGUGUGGCAACAUGAAAUGGCCGUUGACGACACAGGCGAGUAGUGGAUGCCACACUUCAGUUCUAAUUAAAGUUACAUCAGCACAGAGCAUGUAUGCUACGACCAAGUUGGGUCCAUACUUUGGAUUACCAUGUACAGUGUCACUCUCUUCUGCAUUCCAGAAGAUGGAAGCCAGUGUUUCUUUGCUGUUGCCAUUUCAAUUUAGUAUAUUUUCAUGUUUUCAUGCUCUGCAAAAUACAGCCAGAGGUUGCACGGUCUUGAAAUGAAGACUACUUUUUGUGUUUUCAAGAUAAAAUUUUAGCUAUAAUAAACGGAAUUUCCAAAAAACAAA
rnacentral:lncRNA from 1 species